AUGUAUAUACGUUAAUAAUUAAAAAUAUGGUAAAUGUAUGCACAUAAACAUAUGUAUAUAUAUGUAUAUGUAUAUAUACAUAGAACAAUGAAAAUUUUUUUUUUUUUUUUUUAUUCUAUCACUGCUUAAGUUUAAGUGCUGUAAAUUGUAAUAAAGAAACGCAUGUAGAGCUUAAUGAGUAUGAACUAAAAAACCAAUUUAGUGUUCGCAUAUUAAAACAAUCUUCUGAAAAUUGUGGUUUAGAAUUUGAAGAUGAAGCAGAAAUUGACAUCAGGGCAUUUUGUAAGAGCUUCUACAUAUAAUAUUUAAAUACAUAUUAAAUAAUUUGUUUAUUAAAAACAAUUUUAUUACUGUGUAAUACUUAUUUAUAUAAAAAAUAAAAAUAAAAUAAUAAUAAUUUUUAAUUUAUCAAUUUUUUAUAUUUAUUUUACAUGGUAACAAUUAUUUAUUGCAGCUCCAGGAGUGAAACUCAUGCCUAGUUUAUCAUCAGUAAUAGUAAAACACACUCUUAUAUGUACGUGCGUGUAUAUAUAUAUAUAUAUAUAUAUAAAAUCCCCUUUAUACUUUGUUUUCAACCCUUUUGUACAUUCAGUUAUAAAUUUCUUUUCAAUUUUUCAGGAUUUCGAAUUUGGAUAUGCUAAUCAGAAGUUUAUAGUCGGAAAAUACAACGUCCCUGAUUUAAAUAAAGGUUUACGAGGGAUGUGUACAGGCGAACUAAGGUUAAAAAAAAAAAAAAGUCUUUUUUUUUUUUUAUGUUUUAUAUGU
rnacentral:lncRNA from 1 species